UUUUCUCUACAUAAUAAGCACUAUUAAUUGCCACUCACAGCCGCCCACCAUCACCAGCACUAUUACAUGUAUCAUUGUUAAUAAGUGUUAUUAUAUAAGUUUCUGCAUGGCACGUAAUUGCCUAUAAAAAUAUAGCUAUUGCAAGUUUAAUUGGCCAUUAUAAUCUUAUUAGGGUUUCUUCUGUAGCAUUUGCAGUGAAGACAUGAAGAGUUUAAGCUACUAUCAAUAUUACCUCUUGUUUGUANN
rnacentral:lncRNA from 1 species